rnacentral:tRNA from 1 species
GGAAACGUGCCUGAAAACUAAGGACCUCCUUGAUAGGGAGAACCAUAUGGGUUAAAAUCCCCUCGCUUCCU